rnacentral:Y_RNA from 1 species
GGCUGGUCCAAAGAUAGUGAGCUAUCUCACUUGAUUGUUCACAGUCAGUUACAUAUUGAACUCCUUGUUCUACUACUUUCCCCAUUUCUCACUGCUGCACUUGACUAGUCUUAA